GACGCAGCACGUCAGUGACGCCGCAGCAGAGACCUGAGGGACAGAGCAGAGGAGGAACCGGAAAAGACGAGCGGUGAUUAAUUAACAGAAAAAGUCGUGAAAGAGUCGAUAAAACAGUUGAAAACCGUAACUUACCUGGUCGGGAUCUGACGGGGAUUUUAUGAGAACGAAGCGACGUCUGUUUUGAUGAGUUUUGUGUUUAUUUUCAUGCAUUUUCACCGUGUUGUACUUUUUUUCUCUGGCGGAGAGCUAACACUAAAACCGUAACUGUUUACAGAGAAAUACUCCGUCAUAAACUGUUAUCCAGUUUAUAUUUUGGGUUUAUGAAGACUGUGAAUGUUAUAAAAGUGUGUGUAAGCUGUGUAAAUAGAAGAUUUGUGCAGUAAUUAGUACGGGAGACGGAGCCGUGAGAUAAAUUAGACGUCCCGCUCCGCCGCCAUUUGAGUUGAAAAAACACCGUAGCAGUAACGUUACAACUCAGAGACUGUGAAGCAUUUAAUUUUGUAAUUUGAAGAUUUAAAAAGAGUUUUAUUGUGUUUUUGGCCUGUUACACAGGUCAGGUUUUUUUGCGCGGUUGGAAGCUCGGUCGGAGCGAGGACUGGUCCGCCAGACGGGAUUCAAGAUGGCGAUCCAGACCCAGACCUUCAACUCAUCUUCCCCAUCUCAUCGUGAGGGAAUCUCCUGCGUGUGGUGACUCCUUGCCACAGUGGUAGGCUAUCAGGAACUAGUUUGAACUGAACAGAACUGAGAACUGAUUGAAUUAUUAUUUUUGGACUGAAUCGAACUGAGACUUUUCAUUGAACUGAACACUUGAAUUCACAUUUGGACUUGAACUUAAAUUUGAAGUGUCAUACUUUUAUUUUUUAUUGAGUUUAUAUUUUUGAAUGUGAUUUGAAUAACUGUGGUCCACUUUGAUUUAUUUGUGAUUAAGGUUUUUUCUUACCUGUAAAAGAAGGGGGGAAGAAAAAAUAGGAAUCCUGAAAUAGAUACAACCUUGGAAAAAGAGACUGGUCUAAUUAAAUUAGAUUAGCUUUAGUAAAAUAAACUUGGUGAACUAAAGAACAAAAAAUACUUUUUUCAUUUAUACUUACCUCAUUAUUGAUAACCUGCAGGGUAUUUUUGGUUUCAUAUACUAUGUUUUAUAUGUGUGUUUAUAUAUUUAGUAAAUUGCCGGCCUUUUCUACUUAAAGCAACGGUCUCUGGUGUUAUUACUCUUGCUCCCCACUCCUUAGAGCCUAGAACUGGUCCAGUGGCGCAGUUAGUGGUGUGAUACUGGUGCUACAUAAAGGUGUUUUUUAUUGAGCCGAAUUAUCAAUAAAAUGAUGAUUUUGUUAACAG